ACUUGGUACAAGCUUCCAAAAUAAUAAUAAAAAAAAAGUUCUUCCAAAGCUAUAAAAAAGCCAAUGUGGCUCAUGAGCAAACUGAGACAUGAAUCCUUGGAAGUGUCACAAAAGUGUCACUGGAUGUGCCUUUCUGAAGGAUCUGGAAAUUAGACCCUUCCAUGAUUAAUCUGUCCCUCACAGUUGCCCCCUCACCCUUUUCCUCUCCUUGUUCCCAGAUUAAAGAAGUUCCUCUCCCCUCCAACCUGAUGUGCCACAGACCCCUCACCACCUUGGUCACCUUGCAUAGGAUUUUCCAGGUUUUUUUGUCACAGGUAUGUCCCAAGAGAGAGGUUGGACAUUUACCAGGAGAUAUCAAAAAUUCAAAGAUGCCUGGGACAACUGACAAUUCCCAGCUGGGAGACACAAAACUGUGGGGUAUUUGCUAUUUAAAGCAGGUGAUUAAUGCUAACAGGGAUAUUGGGAUUCCCUGUGUCACCUCAUCCCGUGGAAGGGCAAAGCAGAACAUAUACUGAUCUGGUCAAGAAGUGUCUCAUCAUGACAGGAAUGAAAACAACAAUAAAAUAUCUUUAUCAGAAAUUCUGAUAGUGCAAAUAUCCCAGGCAGAGGAGAACAUGGCAUUUGUCUUUCAGAUUCUUGGAAAAAAAAGAACAAGCUAAGCUCCUGGAAAGAUUUAAUAGUGUUUCUAUCUCCACCCUGAUAUUUUUUAUCAGAACAUGCGAAAUGUUUAAUGCGAAUUCUCCUUGGGUGUGCCAUUGCUUUUAUGGACUUUUUAUUGCUUAUAAACCAAAUCACGUCACUGCUGGUACUUUCUCUGACCCUUUAGUUAAAAUGUUACCCCAAGGACAAUCACAUCUUUGUGUGCUCAGUGUUUGCUGAGCACUCCAGGAUCCUUGGAUUUGUGUGGGGUGGGAGCAGAGGCCCACGCAGGAGUGAGCCCAAUCCCAUCAACACUUUCUGCAAUCAUUUUGCAUUUUUUCCCAGAAAAAAUAUUGGAAUUUUCUCAAAAAAAGAGCCUCAUUUGAAAUUAGCAAGUACUUCUUAUGUUUCCUAGGUAGGGCAGUUCAGAAUUUCACUGAUAUUAAACAAAAAGACAAAAAGAAGGGUGACUGAGCACUGGAAUGGGCUGCUCAGAGAGGCUCUGGACUCUCCAUCCUUGGAGACAUCCAAAAAUCAUCUGGAAACAGUUCUGGACACUCAGGGCCCAGGGAGAUAAAACUGGAGGACCCCCAGUGUCCAUUUAAACCUCAACGACUCCAGGAUUCUGUGAAGAAAUGGGUUUCAGCCUUCAUAUUUUUGUACAUUUAAAAGGAAGAAAGUUUUUUCUGCUGUUAACUUCUUUUCCUGUUUGCC
rnacentral:lncRNA from 1 species